GUAGCUGCAGGAUGCAGCCACCAGCUGCAGGAUAUGGGGCCCUGAGGGCCCAUUAGAGGCUGGUGGGUUAGAAAAAUAAGAGUUUUCCUCUUAGUUUUAGCCUUUGUCUCCUUGCUGAGUGACCAAAGGGUCAGCAAGAAUAUUUUGGAACCCUGGUGGACUUGGCCAGACCAUCCCAGGAGGGAGAGCCUGAGGGACUCUGGAUCAUUUUUGGCUUCUUACAAUACACCUGAAGGUUAAGGAUCUACCCCCAAAUCUCCAGGAGUUUCCCAGCCUGCAUCUGGCAACCAUACACCCUCUUCCCCUUCCAGUGGCCAAGGAGGCCCUGGCAAGUCUCACGUCGGCAGUGAGCAGAAGUGCCGCCAUCUUGGAAGUGCCGUUCCUAUAACAACCAUUGCUACUGAAUGAGGGCUGGGUCCUAGGAUGGGCAUAUCACGGAAUGGAGUUUGUUGCUUCUCGAAGGCCACGAUCCCCUGUACACCUUCGUGAGAAGAAGCGCCGUUGAAGCCAGUGGCGGUUACCUCAGGGCACAUACUCGUAGCUGAGGGCUGUAAGUUGCCAACAUGAGGAAGGGAACUUUGGCUCGCCUCUGGACGGCUCCGGUUUUGAGGAGACCCAGCACAAAGGCACCUUUCAGCUUUCAGACACCGACUUUUCCCACAUGGGCUACAGCCAGAAAAAAAGAAUAGCGCGGCUUCAAAGUUGGCUUGGCACAGGAAAGCAUUUUUGCCUUUACCCUCGUGGGCCUGCACCUGCCUGAAACAACUGCGGAUCACGCGGAGCGAGGACAUCGAAAGAAGUGUAGAAGCGGGAAGAGGGUAUCGAGAAAAGAAACACCAAAAUAUUACCUGGGACAGAAUUUUGACGCUGGCCGGUUGAGACAAAACCAGGUCAAGGUAUUUUGUCGCCUCAGCCAAGGGUAAGGGAUAAAACAGGCCCCAAUCCAUUUGAAAAUCGUUGCGACGGAGACUGCAGUUCUAAAGACCCUGGUGAGACCAAAUGCAAAACUCACUGAGGGGGCUUCUAUCCAGUAAAAACGAUCAGCGCUCUACUCCAUGGGACAAGUUAAGUGGCAAGUCGCUAAGUUAAGCCCCGUGGGUUUUAGAGAGGUGGGAAGCUCUUAACUUCGGUUGGAUUGGGGCCGCCGGACUAACGUCUGAGUAAACCUGCGCGGGAUUGAAUUGCAAGCCUGACCAAACAACAGCAGGGGAUCCAAAAAUGGAGCUUUUAUCAUGGGAUUUCAAGAGGACUUAGGUGCAACCAAUGGCUCCUGGAUCGGAGUCAUUGCUUUUUAUAAAAAACAUGUGCAUGAUGAAGAAAAGAGCUUCCAUGUGAAUACUUGUGAGCAUGUGUGUUUGUGGGUGUUGUGUGGUGUGGUGCUGUGUGUGUGUGGCUUUUUAUGUUAUUUUUUUUCCUCUUUUUAUUUCUCAAAUACAUUAUUUUUUCUAUUUAUAAUAACUGCUGAUAUACAGACAAUAUACAAAUUCCAUUUUUUCCUGGGCACUUCAGCUUUCCGUGACAACUCCCGUGCAAUUAAUAAAAAGUGCCUUUUUUUGAAAAGUCAAAAAAA